rnacentral:rRNA from 1 species
AUUGAACGCUGGCGGCAGGCCUAACACAUGCAAGUCGAACGGUAACAGGAAACAGCUUGCUGUUUCGCUGACGAGUGGCGGACGGGUGAGUAAUGUCUGGGAAACUGCCUGAUGGAGGGGGAUAACUACUGGAAACGGUAGCUAAUACCGCAUAACGUCGCAAGACCAAAGAGGGGGACCUUCGGGCCUCUUGCCAUCGGAUGUGCCCAGAUGGGAUUCGCUAGUAGGUGGGGUAACGGCUCACCUAGGCGACGAUCCCUAGCUGGUGUGAGAGGAUGACCGGCCACACGGGAACUGAGACACGGUCCAGACUCCUACGGGAGGGAGCAGUGGGGAAUAUUGCACAAUGGGCGCAAGCCUGAUGCAGCCAUGCCGCGUGUAUGAAGAAGGCCUUCGGGUUGUAAAGUACUUUCAGCGGGGAGGAAGGGAGUAAAGUUAAUACCUUUACUCAUUGACGUUACCCGCAGAAGAAGCACCGGCUAACUCCGUG